GAGAGAAAAGGUGGGGGGAGGGGGGGUUAGAGGGGGUUCAGGUAAAGUUUUCGGGGUCCAAGGUGGGAUUUUGGGGGUCUCAGGUGGGAUUUUGGGGGUCCUCAGGUGUGAUUUGGGGAGGUCUGGGGGUCCCAGGUGAGAUUUUGGGGGUCCCCAGGUGAGGUUUGGGAGGGUUUUGGGGGUCCCAGGUGAGAUUUUGGGGGUCCCAGGUGAGAUUUUGGUGUCCCCAGGUGAGGUUUGGGAAGGUUUUGGGGGCCCCCAGGUGUGAUUUGGGGGGGUUUUGGGGGUCCCAGGUGGGAUUUCGGGGGUCCCCAGGUGAGGUUUGGGAGGGUUUUGGGGGUCCCAGGUGGGAUUUUGGAGGUCCCAGGUGGGAUUUUGGGGAUCCCCAGGUGAGGUUUGGGAGGGUUUUGGGGGUCCCAGGUGAGAUUUUGGAGUCCUCAGGUGAGAUUUUGGGGGUCCCCAGGUGGAGUUUGGGGUCCCCAGAUGAGGUUUGGGAGGGUUUUGGGGGUCUCAGGUGAGAUUUUAGGGGUCCCCAGGUGUGAUUUGGGGAGGUUUGGGGGUCCCAGGUGUGAUUUGGGGGUCCCAGGUGGGAUUUUGGGGGUCCCAGAUGGGAUUUUGGAAGUCCCAGAUAGGAUUUUGGGGAUCCCCAAGUGAGGUCUGGGGGGGUUUCAGGGGUCUCAGGUGUGAUUUUGGGGGUCCCAAGUGAGUUUUUGGGGUCCCAGGUGUGCCCAGGUCUGUUUCAGGUCCCCCAGGUGUACCCAGGUGUGUUUUGGGGUUCCCCAGGUGUGCCCAGGUGAGUUUUUGGGGUUCCCCAGGUGUGGUUUUGGACUCCCCAGGUGUGCCCAGGUGUGUUUUGGGACUUCCCAGGUGUGCCCAGGUGUAUUUUGGGGUUCCCCAGGUGUGCUUCAGGCUGCCCAGGUGUGCCCGGGUGAGUUUUUGGGGUACCCCAGGUGUGUUUUGGGACUCCCCAGGCGUGCCCAGGUGAGUUUUUGGGGUUCCCCAGGUGUGCCCAGGUGUGUUUUGGGACUCCCCAGGUGUGCCCAGGUGUGUUUUGGGCUGCCCAGGUGUGCCCAGGUGUGUUUUGGGACUCCCCAGGUGUGCCCAGGUGUAUUUUGGGGUUCCCCAGGUGUGUUCUUGGGCUGCCCAGGUGUAUCCAGGUGUGUUUUGGGCUGCCCAGGUGUGUUUUGGGACUCCCCAGGUGUGCCCAGGUGUGUUUUGGGCUGCCCAGGUGUGCCCAGGUGUGUUUUGGGACUCCCCAGGU